UCCUUUAGGGCCUGAUCCAGAGCCGACUAAAGUCAAUGGGAGUCUUUCCAUUGACUUUACUGAGUUUUUGAUCAGACCCUUACGGU
rnacentral:pre_miRNA from 1 species